AGAAUCAACGCUGGCGGCGUGCCUAACACAUGCAAGUCGAACGAGAAAGGGGUAGCAAUACCCUGAGUAAAGUGGCGCACGGGUGAGUAACACGUGACUAACCUACCCUGGAGUGGGGGAUAACUGAGGGAAACCUUAGCUAAUACCGCAUAAUACCCACGGGUCAAAGGAGCAAUUCGCUUCAGGAGGGGGUCGCGGCCGAUUAGUUAGUUGGCGGGGUAAUGGCCCACCAAGACGAUGAUCGGUAU
rnacentral:rRNA from 1 species